GAUGAAGAACGUAGCGAAAUGCGAUAAGUAGUGUGAAUUGCAGAAUUCAGUGAAUCACCGAAUCUUUGAACGCACAUUGCGCCCCUUGGUAUCCCGAGGGGCAUGCCUGUUCGAGCGUCAUUUCACCACUCAAGCCUGGCUUGGUGUUGGGCGACGUCCUCUUUGGGGACGCGCCUCGAAACGCUCGGCGGCGUGGCACCGGCUUUAAGCGUAGCAGAAUCUUUCGCUUUGGAAGUCGGGGCCCCGUCUGCCGGAAGACCUGCUCGCAAGGUUGACCUCGGAUCAGGCAGGGAUACCCGCUGAACUUAAGCAUAUCAAUAAGCGGAGGA
rnacentral:misc_RNA from 1 species